GAUGAACGCUGGCGGCGUGCCUAAUACAUGCAAGUCGAGCGAACGGACGAGAAGCUUGCUUCUCUGAUGUUAGCGGCGGACGGGUGAGUAACACGUGGAUAACCUACCUAUAAGACUGGGAUAACUUCGGGAAACUGGAGCUAAUACCGGAUAAUAUUUUGAACCGCAUGGUUCAAAAGUGAAAGACGGUCUUGCUGUCACUUAUAGAUGGAUCCGCGCUGCAUUAGCUAGUUGGUAAGGUAACGGCUUACCAAGGCAACGAUGCAUAGCCGACCUGAGAGGGUGAUCGGCCACACUGGAACUGAGACACGGUCCAGACUCCUACGGGAGGCAGCAGUAGGGAAUCUUCCGCAAAGGGCGAAAGCCUGACGGAGCAACGCCGCGUGAGUGAUGAAGGUCUUCGGAUCGUAAAACUCUGUUAUUAGGGAAGAACAUAUGUGUAAGUAACUGUGCACAUCUUGACGGUACCUAAUCAGAAAGCCACGGCUAACUACGUG
rnacentral:rRNA from 1 species